rnacentral:rRNA from 1 species
CCCUGUUUGAAUCUGGCUCAGAUUGAACGCUGGCGGGCAGGCCUAACACAUGCAAGUCGAGCGGUAGCACAGAGAGCUUGCUCUCGGGUGACGAGCGGCGGACGGGUGAGUAAUGUCUGGGAAACUGCCUGAUGGAGGGGGAUAACUACUGGAAACGGUAGCUAAUACCGCAUAAUGUCGCAAGACCAAAGUGGGGGACCUUCGGGCCUCAUGCCAUCAGAUGUGCCCAGAUGGGAUUAGCUAGUAGGUGGGGUAACGGCUCACCUAGGCGACGAUCCCUAGCUGGUCUGAGAGGAUGACCAGCCACACUGGAACUGAGACACGGUCCAGACUCCUACGGGAGGCAGCAGUGGGGAAUAUUGCACAAUGGGCGCAAGCCUGAUGCAGCCAUGCCGCGUGUGUGAAGAAGGCCUUCGGGUUGUAAAGCACUUUCAGCGGGGAGGAAGGCGUUAAGGUUAAUAACCUCGGCGAUUGACGUUACCCGCAGAAGAAGCACCGGCUAACUCCGUGCCAGCAGCCGCGGUAAUACGGAGGGUGCAAGCGUUAAUCGGAAUUACUGGGCGUAAAGCGCACGCAGGCGGUCUGUCAAGUCGGAUGUGAAAUCCCCGGGCUCAACCUGGGAACUGCAUUCGAAACUGGCAGGCUAGAGUCUUGUAGAGGGGGGUAGAAUUCCAGGUGUAGCGGUGAAAUGCGUAGAGAUCUGGAGGAAUACCGGUGGCGAAGGCGGCCCCCUGGACAAAGACUGACGCUCAGGUGCGAAAGCGUGGGGAGCAAACAGGAUUAGAUACCCUGGUAGUCCACGCCGUAAGAUGUCGAUUUGGAGGUUGUGCCCUUGAGGCGUGGCUUCCGGAGCUAACGCGUUAAAUCGACC